rnacentral:piRNA from 1 species
UGAGAACUCCUAAAUUGACAGAUAGUGGCCU